AUGCACCAUGCCAACCCCACUAUGCAUGAACAUAUGCAGGUCAAAUUGUCCACCAUUAUCCAAUCUGAACUUUCUCCAGAUAGAUGUCACUUGACAGACAAUCAGAAGCCCGAGGCGGAGCAAAUAAUAACAAGCUUCUCUGUUGAUAAAUCUGCUAGUUAUGUAUCAGUCUGGACGUGGCGAGCGAGCUUUCGGCCCGGCUCGCGGCCCGCUAAGGACCGGACCGUUCGGUCCUGGCCCGCUGAUAAAAAUGGCCGGUCCGGUCUGCAGAAACAGGCCCGAAAACAAGUCGGUCCGGUCCUGUUUUUAUCCGAGCUGGCUCGGUCGGACCGCGACAUUUGGCCCAGGCGCAUAGCCCAGUAG
rnacentral:rRNA from 1 species